rnacentral:rRNA from 1 species
UACGGAGGGUGCGAGCGUUGUCCGGAAUCACUGGGCGUAAAGGGCGCGUAGGCGGCAGGCCAAGCGUGCGGUGAAAGUCCGGGGCUCAACCCCGGAUCUGCCGUGCGGACUGGUUUGCUAGAGCACUGUAGAGGCGAGUGGAAUUCCGGGUGUAGCGGUGGAAUGCGUAGAGAUCCGGAAGAACACCGGUGGCGAGGGCGGCUCGCUGGGCAGUGGCUGACGCUGAGGAGCGAAAGUGUGGGGAGCGAACAGG